rnacentral:rRNA from 1 species
AUGGCUGAAGGGCCGUUAGACUUCUGGAUUAACUGGGCGAGCCAGAUCGGGGUUCUCUUGAGCCUGGCCUUCCAGGUCAUCCUCCACCUCUUCGCCAACGUACGACGGCGUAGUAGAUCACCUAUGCUGAGGCUUCCCCUCUGGUUGGCGUACCAGCUGUCUGACAUGACUGCGACAUAUGCUGCCGGCCAACUCCUCUACAGCAGCAACACACCACAAGACCACCAACUCAUUGCCUUCUGGGCGCCAUUCCUCCUGCUGCACCUCGGUGGCCCGGACAACAUCACUGCAUAUGCCCUUGAGGAUAGCAAACUCUGGACGCGCCACUUACUCAGCCUUGUGGUGCAGGUAGUUGGAGCCGGAUAUGUUCUCUACAAGUACAUCGCCGGCAGUGAGAUCAUGCUCACACUGGCUGCCAUCUUGAUAUUUGUUGUUGGUGUUGCAAAGUAUUUGGAGCGGAUAUGUGCGCUAUUGUUUGCCAACUUCAGCAGCCUCCAGAGCUCUCUCAAGGUUGCCUCCCACAAAAAAAAGAACGAAAAGAGCUCUCUUAAGGUACCACGGCAGUACCAGCAUUUUUAUAUUGAGCAUCAAGACUGGUACAGUGACUUGGCGGACGAGCACCUCCUGCAGCGUGCUCACUCCCUGUUUCAUAUCUGUAAGCGUGGGAUAGUGGAUUCUGUGAUCGAGGUGGAUUUAGCUAACCCGAGUGAGGUGGUUUCUCUGGAUAACAAAACAAUCCAGGGCCUUUUGGAAGACCCUGAAGACAUGUGGAGGGUGAUGGAGAUGGAGCUCUCUCUCAUGUAUGAUAUCCUGUACACCAAGGCAAGUGUGAUCCACUCUUGGGUUGGCUACUGCAUCCGUCUUAUCUCGCCGGUCGCAGUUGCCACCUCGCUCGUGUUGUUCCAUUUGAGCAGCAAAUAUGGUUACAGCCAAGUCGAUGUUGCCAUCAGUUACACCUUGUUGGGUGGCGCCUUGGUCCUGGAGACCAAAUCGCUCCUUGGCGCACUAGGGUCAAGCUGGGCUCUUGCCUUCUUGUGUGUCACAGAAUGGGAUUGGUCCGACAUUCAGCUCUGUGUACUGGAAGGUGGCAUCGGCUUCGGCGUGCACUUGUUUCUCUUUGACGGUCCUGGAUAG